UCCAACGUGCCUUGUGUGCAAAGACAAAGACGUUGUGCUUUUUGUUAUAUUUGUCAGUGGAUAAAAGUGUUAGCUCUGCGACCGAGAAGUGGUAGUGUCCCUAUCUGUGAACAAGGGCGACCGGUUUAUGUGCCACCUGGUCGAGAGGCGUGUUAUAUGGGGGGGGGGGGGUGAAGAUAGAAACCCUUCCCGUUAAGGGCUGCUGUGGUAGUGUCCUGCCCUGUGGGCCUGGUGACCCUAGUUCAAGCCCCACCUGCCCUACAGUACGAAACGGAGUGAUUAGACACUGCUAAGGAGUUGAGGCCGUGCUUCAUAGGGGUUAGGCAACGGUUUGGGGCGCAUAAUGCCUGGGAAACCCGGCCUUACUUUCCCACCAGACAGCGGGGCUCUGGGCCUGCGCUCGCUGCCGCUGUCCCUCCCUCAGCCGGGUUUCUUCCGCUCUUUGUCCCGGGGGCGCGGCUGUUAUUUGUCUUUAUGCCCCCCGUCCCCUCAGUGAACCCGGCUACACCAAAACAGGCCAUGCUUCCAUCUCUGCACGAUGACCAUUGCAUUGGUGACAAUGAGGCCUGUGACAAGUCCCUAGGGCACCCCGCCACCUCUGCUAAUCUUGUAAAUAUUGUUUCUCCCCUCCUUGGAAAAAAACAAACUCAGCAUUGGUUUAGCCUAGUUGAAAAAAAUUAAAAAUCUAACCUGAGGUUUAGAUCCAGGGAUGGGCUUUUUUGCAAUUCUCCGGCCAUUAUAGGAAGUUUAGGAGGCCACGUGUCGAACGAUACCGACACGUGUAGGAAGCUUUGAACUGGGUGCCGCUUGUGUACUGUGUCCAGCAUCAGAGGUGGAGUGUCUUCUGGAUAUUUUCAGAACGUGUUCACUCUGAGCGAUUGCUGUAUCUGGAUUUCUGUGAACAUGAAAUAGUUGAAUAGAACUACCUCUUAAACUGAACUGUGGAGAUCAAGAUGUUGGUGGAAAUUAAGCAAGAGUGAGUGGUCUUGCAACCUGAAAGAUGGGCAUAUCUAUCCUGUAAAUUUGAAGAGGACUUUUUUCACUUAAAAGAAUGCACUUAAGUUGAAUAUCCAACAGUAAGAUGGUGUAACAUCAGUGCUAAAGGAUGCCCCUCAGAAUAGGAUGAAGAUGUGCUGUGAUCAGAAUUCCGAGGGAUGUCCAGUCCAUGUGAGGAAAUCUUUGGAAACUUUUAUUCCCAGCUGUCAAGACUGCUCAGAAGUAAAUCACUUCCAGGCACUUGUUUACAGGCUUGUCAGAGCUCGCCUGCAGUGAUUGUUGCACUAGAUUCUUGAACAGGUUGGAGAACACCAGUAAAAGUCUUGAUACCAAACAAAGGGGGGAAAGAGUAUGAAAAUAUUUUGGGUUGACUUGGUGUUCAAAUGGCUACUUGUAUUCCAGGCAA